UUUCCGUAGGUGAACCUGCGGAAGGAUCAUUAUUGUAUAACCGAGGUGCGAGGGCUGUCGCUGACCCGAAAGGUCGUGCACGCCCGAGUGCCCUCACACACAUCCAUCUCACCCCUAUGUGCACCACCGCGUGGGUCCCCCUUUGGCUUGUUCGGAGGGGGGCUUACGUUUUCACACAAACUUUGUAUGCAGUGUAGAAUGUAUUUUUUGUUUUUGCGAUCACGCAAUCAAUACAACUUUCAACAACGGAUCUCUUGGCUCUCGCAUCGAUGAAGUACGCAGC
rnacentral:misc_RNA from 1 species